UACAGAGACUGCAAGCGUUAUUCGGAUUCACUGGGCGUAAAGGGUGCGCAGGUGGCCAAGUGUGUUAGGCGUGAAAGCCCGGGGCUUAACCCCGGAAUUGCACCUAAAACUACUUGGCUAGAGCAUUGGAGAGGGGAGCAGAAUUCACGGUGUAGCAGUGAAAUGCGCAGAUAUCGUGAGGAAUACCAGAGGCGAAGGCGGCUCCCUGGACAAUUGCUGACACUCAGGCACGAAAGCGUGGGGAGCAAAAGGG
rnacentral:rRNA from 1 species